CAGAACAAAAAGAAAACCUUAAAAUAAAUACUAACCAUACGAAAUAAUAAUAUAAUUAAUUACUACGAAGCUUUACUUCAUUUUAUUUCCUGGCCUUCUCAAAGUGAAGCUCCACCGACUCUUACCGUCUCUUCCAGCGUUUUCUUCCAGCAAUUUCCGUGGUUCAUUCGAUACGGUCGACUCCCUCCCUCAAAAUUUUCUACCCCCGUUUUUAGGGGUUUUCUUUUAUUGGUUUUGGAUCGGAGAUCCGGUAGAAGAUUUGAAGAGAUCUGUCAGUAAAAUGGGCUGAUGUUUGAGAGUUAACUGGACAAAGUCUGAAACAUAAAGGGAAGACACUAGCAGCUUUUGAAUCCACACAUUUAACAAAUGAAUUUCAUAGUUGGUGAUGGUGGCUGCAUCAUUUGAUAUCCAUAAAGAUGCGUAUGGUUUAUGGAGCAAAAUCAGCAGAUUAUGGUAUCUUCAAGAAGCUAUCUGUAGACAUUAGUGUUUUCUUGGUCGGUCACAAACUCCUGGUUAACAAUACAUGACAAGAUCCUUCCAUCAAUGCCACACAAUGAUAUUCCUUGGAUCAACAUGUGAGAAUCAAACGCCUCCAAGAUAUUUAGUGAAUUUUGAUGUAAGGAGAAUCUCCACUUUUGCAUGGGAACUCACAAUUUCUAGCAUUUCUUAAAACCUACUGUAAGGUGUCCAAAGUCUUUGCAGGAAGUUGAUAAGACUGUGAUUCAAAAUAAGCCUUAGCAUUGUAAACACAAAAUUUAAUAAGCUCAACUAUCAUAAUUUUUCUCACCAUAAAAUGUGCUAGACUUGAUUGGGAGUCACCUUACCUAAAUCAAAACAAUAAGAUAUAAAAUGCCAUAAAUGCUUUCAUUACAAAUUUGAUAUAUAUGGAGUCACAAGGGUUGUGCCUCUCAAAGUGGUAGUGUACUAGAAUGAAGUGAGAGGAGGUACAAAAUUAAUAUAAAGGGAAGAGAAUAUUAAGAGUAGGAGAUGUCAAGUUUACCAACAUAACUAAGCAAACCUUUAUUUGAUUUCUCUUAGUCAUUUGCUAUGCCAAUAAUUUAAGACAUCUUUUCAAACUUCUAUUUACAUGCUUAUUGAAGAGGGUACUCCAUCUUUUCAUCAGACGCUACAAAAAAAGCUGUUUUCAAAAAGCAAUCUAUGCAGUGCAUGUGCUUACAUGGCCCUCAGGUUUCCCAGCAUAGGAUGUAGUCUGCCUUUGUAUAUUGACAGGGUGCAUGGUGGAUGCUUAAGUGGUCCUCAUGACAUUAAGCACUGGAUAUGCAUUCUUCCAUCUCUUUUUCUCCGGCUGAAUUUAUAUUCUCUGUUUUUUUUACUUAUCUCUUAUUAGGAGUCCAUUUGUUUUUUUUUUAAUUUUUGUAGAUAUAAAGUGCCUAGCGAACCACGUAAGCGGCUGCAUACCACACAGGCAUCAUGUGGCACCCCAACCACCUCCAUACCAUGACCUUAUUUUGGAACCUUGCCAAAGACUAUUUGAGUCUAGCACCGCAUACUUUUUCAGAAGGCAGAAAGAGUCCUUUUUUUCUUGUUCAACGUGUUCAUCCUUUUGUUUCACCUCUUCUCUAAUUUUAUAUGAACCAAUAGAUAUGGUGUGAAUUGAAUAAUUGAUAUAAAAGAAAACUGAAGGAAAAACACCGGAGAAGUGUGAGUGGAUGAGAUAUCCCUAAAGAUUUAGCUUAAAAUAAAACUAGCUUAUAACCUGCACAAUGCGUAGGGUGUAGUUUUUUUUUCUUUUCCAACUAUUCUUGAAAUAUAAUAUAGAAUAGAUAUCAAGGUUUUACGUCCUGACAGGAUGGGGGGUGUCCCAGCCAUCCUGUCCCAUUUUUAUGAAAAAAAGGGACUGGUAUGAGGCCGAGACUCCGAAAUCCAUCUAUAUAGGAAGAGAAGAAGAAAGAGAAAAGAAAGAAAGGAAGAUAAGAGAAAAAAAGUUGAGAGAAGAAGAAGAAAAAAGAAAAACAAAAAGAAGAAAAAGAAGAAAGAAAGAAAAAAGAAAGAAUCAGGCAAAUGAAAAAAAUAAAGAAAGGAAGGGAUAAGAAAAUCAAAUAAAAAUAAAAGAAAAGAAAUAAAAAUAGAAGAAAAAGAAAAAAAGAAAGAAAAGAAAAAAAGAAAUGAAAUGAAAGAAGAAGAGGAGAGAAAAGGAGGAUAUCUAAUGGGAUGUAUGACUGGAACAGCUGUCGGGACGAGACGGAAUGGGACAGCGGGAUGUCCUGUUCUAUGGAGAUACCAAGAUUCCUCUGUCCCAUGAGAUUUAAAACCUUGAUAGGUAUAAUAGAAUAGAUAAAUAAAAUAGAAUGAAAAUAUAAUAGAUAUUAGAGCCUAAUUAUUUUCUAAAAUAAACUUGUGAUAUUAAUAUUAUGAUAUAUUAUCAGCAUACAUAAAUCUAAUAGUAUAUGUAUAACUAUCGAUACAAUAAAAUUUGUAUAAUAGUAUAAAAUAAUAAGAUCACGAUUCAACUUGUGUAUAAAUGACUUAAUUACUAAAUUAGUCUCUAAGAUUUGGUGUAAAAAUUAUUUCAGUUCCCAACCUUUAAAAAGUUGCAAUUGCAUCCCUGACAUUAUCAAUCGAAUUCAUUUAAGCUAUUACUAUCACCAUUCCAUUGGUAAUCAAAUGGAAUUGUAUAGGUGGUAUAUUUUUUAUGACAUGGCAAGGGGAUGACACUUACGAGGCUAAGAUGUGGUGGAGAGUCUCAAUUAGGAGGAAAAUUGCCAUGUCAGUGGGUUGUUGGGGGGAGAUUUCUGCCAAAAUAAGAUGGAAGGAGCUCUGAUUGGAGAGAGAAAAGAGCUCCUAUAGUGAAAAAAUAAGAAAUUGAGAGAGAGGGAGAGGGGGAGAGAGAGAGAGAGAAUUUAUCUUGUUUGCAAAUAUGGAAGCCCCUAAUGUUCAUCCCCAUUUGUUUUUGUGGAAAAGUGCAUCAUUGAAGACUUCAUGGAUAGAGGCCAAUCUAGGAAGAAGAUUUCUCUAUGCAAGAGUCGGAUUGAUAGUCUUUAUUUUUUUCUUUCAUUGAAGACUUUUGUUUUUUUGUUUCUUUGUUUGAUGCACUAAACACUUGACCCUCUUAUUUUGUUUUUAGUUCUAGCAAUUUGGUGCAUGUGGGUACUUUACUUGGUAUGAUGCUCUAGUCAGUGAUCAUGAGAUAUAGGUUGUCAUAGGGCUUCUGUGAAAUUUUAGGAGAAUGGAGAUGGAAAAUAUAGCUGAAAAAAUAAGAGACAAAUGCUUCAAACUAUGUUGUUUUCUUGUUGAAGUUUGCAUUGGCUUCUGUAUGUGUUCUAUUGUUUGUCUUCUUUUCUGCCGAGUUGGAAUAUAAAAUUGCAGCGGGUUGUGAUGGCUAUGAGCACCACUGGUGAUUUAUGGCUUAUACCUUUUUUGUAUGGUGUAAGCUGAUAUAGAUGACUUGCAAUGUUUAUGAUGGAGAGGAUUAUCUUUUUUGUAGAUCAAUUAGGGUAAUAUAGAUUAUGUUUGCAACAGUAACCCUAUAAUGACCACAAUGACAUGUAAUCAAUUGCUAGUUUUAUGUUUUUGAGUAGUAAAAUGCCUUGCUCCAUUUCUUUCCCACUAUGGAACAUUGAGCAUGUGGGAUAAUAUGAUAACAUGCUGAACCUAGGUAUUUGGCUCAAGACUAAAAUUUCAUAUAAUCAAUAAUAGGAGCACAAUUGUUACUAAAAACUUUUCAAUUUCAUUUCUUUUCUAUGAGAUAAAAAUGGUACACAAGAAGUUCGACAAUUCAUUGCCAGCCUUUAUAGUUUAAUACCAAUCUUUACCCAAAAAAGGCAUCAACAUAUAACAUCUGCCUAUAUCAACCGAAAAAUACCCAAAAUAAUUAUGCUGCCAUUAACAAGGAGUGCUUCCUGCAACACAAAACAGUAUAUCCCAAAAUUUAAAAAAUCCUCAACUUCAUCUAUUCUCUUGCAUUGCUACAUUAGUUGGUUUUGGCAGUCUAGAAGGUUUUGGAAUCUAUCAAUGAAUUCCCUUUAUAGGCUUUUGCUUGCAAUGCAAUGGGUUUAGUUGGUACUAAAUAUGGUGCCAUUGACACUUUCUGGCUUUGCUGCAUGCUUGAGGUUGUUGUGGGUUGAGCUAGAGUUUAUGUAGAUUGACUUGUGCUGGAUAUCAUGGCAUUGUAUCAAGUAUGGUAGAUGGUGCAACUCUAUUUGAUUGUAAUUUUUGAUACUAGCUAGAGUCCUGAAAUGGAAAAUGACAAUAAUUAAAUUAACAUGUAAGAUAUAGGAACACAUAUGAAUGAUAAAAGAAAGAAAUUAUAAUAGGGGCAUGGGUAAGAUCAUAUAAGGCAUCCAUCUAAUGGUGAUUGUUCCCUGCAACAUAUGAUAAACCCCCUCCAUAGGUAGUCUUUUGUGACCUUUAUUUCAAAAAAUUCAAUAUGUAAACUGAACUUAUAGAUGGUAUUUAAUUAAGAGAUUAAAAAUUCUAUGUGAUCAUCUUCAUUUAUAAACUAUUAUAGGUGCAUUUUCUCUUAUUGGUCCACUUGAUUGACUACUUGAUGGGAAAUGUAAGCUGCUUCCACGAGUCUUUUUAUCAAUGAAGUCAAGAAAUAAGUCAUGUAUCAAUAUAAACAUCGUACUUAAGAAAGAUGUGUAAGCAUUGUACUUAAGAAAGAGAUUCGUAUUAAAAAAAAAUGUUAAAAAUAUGAAUUACUUUUAUAAUUGCAUUAUUUCCUCUUGAGCCACUUGGUUGAUUUGUUGAUGGUGGUUCUAAGUUCCUACCAAUGCAUCUUUUGCAUGUCCUCUUGUUAUACCUUCUCCACCGCAUUGUCCACAGCAUAGUUUGAAGUUCCUUUUGUGCUUGGUUGGAUUUUAUGGCUCAUCUGGCUCCUUCCUCCUUGGUAGCUUGGGCCUACCUAGUGUCCUCUAGGAAUCAUAGGAGAUUUUAUUUCUUCCAUACCAGAUUUUAGCUAUCGCUUAGGCCCAUUAAUUGGGUUAACAAUUGGUUCAUAUAUCUUUAGAUAGGUGUCUUUCUCGAAGCAGUCACCUACAUAAGUCUUAAGCUCCUCUCCAUUUAUUCCACAUUGCUGCAACAAUAUGUGCACAUUCAAGUCCCACUUCGUACAGGUGCAAGUGUGGUCUCUCAAUACAAAGCCAUCCAAGAUAUUUAGAGAGCUUAUCCCCACUUUUAGACCCCCUUGAAGGGCUAGGCAACAUCUGGCAAACUGAUCCUUAUUCUUAUCCAACUUUUGAAUUUGGAAAAAAUUUCUCCUUUGAAUCUCAUCAACUUGCUUUUCUUGGUCAUGCCCCUUUUCAUUAUAGGUCAAGCAUUGUUAAAAUGGACUUCUUCCUCACAUCUAAAAUAAUCAUGUUGAAAGCUUCAUAGAGAUUGUUCAAUAAAUUGCCACACUUGGAAUGUGCUAAAGUGCGAUCUUGACUAAUGAAAAAGUAAUUUGUCUUGAAGCCACUUAUAAGCAUCCUCAUAUGACUCCUUCAAUUUGUCUAUCCUUUUCUUGAAUUCCUCCAUAUAUGUUAUCCUAGCACAGUUCUGCAAAGCAUUCUUUAACCCCUUUCUUGUAUGCUUUGCCUUGAAGUUAGAGUAUAGAUGUCUCACAUAGAAUCUACGUUUACUAUCUGCGAAUAGCUCUUUAAGUGUUGGCACCAAUCUCUCACAUAUGAUGCAUAAACAUCAGAUGAUAAGUAAACAUAGUUAAUGAUAAAUAAAAAAUUAAGAAACAAGAUAAAUAGUAUCUUUUGUUGAUCAAGAAAUAUAGGUUUUGUGAUAUUGAUUCUUCAUUUUCAAGUCCUUUGAUAAGAACUUCAAAAAUCAUAUCAAGAAUUUCUGCUCUUAGUUUCAAGUACAGCAUAUGUAAUGUAGUACAUGCAGUCAUUUGCAUCUAUCUUGUAGAUAGCAAUUGACCCCCAUACGUAUGCUUGAGGAAACAAUCAUGAAUACCAACCAGGGGUAUGCAUCCAAUAAGAAAGUCCUUUUUACAAGCGUCAAGAUAAAUGUAGAAUCUUUUAAAAGCAAUAUGUCUAGCAUAGUAAUAGUGGUGGUCCCAAGAUUUGUCCUUCUGAGCCCAGCUGUAUAAUCACCAAUCCUCUGAUAUUGCUCUCUUGCAUCUCUAGUACCUGGGUUCUAGUCCUCCAAAGCUUGCUUGUAGGCAUUGAGGUAUUAUAGUCCUCCUUAACAGCAUCUUCAAAUGAACUUAUAGACCACUUGGGAUCUAACUUAAACUUGUUUAAGUAAUGUGCAAGAAUCUUUGGAUUGAGUCUUUUGUUGAUAUGGGAUUUAGUAUAAUUGUGCUCAUCAACAUAACUUUUCACUUGGUAUAUAGAGUUUUUGGGAGUAUUGCUUACAAAAAUUGCCCCUUGCAUCCUCUGCACUUUGCAUAAACUCUUCUCCUAUCAUUUUUAAUAAACCUAAUGUUAUACAUCUUCUUCAAAGCAUAUACAUUAAAGGCUAUCUUGAUCUGGUCUGUAUUACUGAACUUUAUCCCAACCAUAAACUUGGGAUUGCUCAUAUCACUCUCUCUAAACUCAAGAUAUCUAUGUCCACCAAUGUCAUCAUUAACACUUGAACUAGCAAUGCUAUAUAGGUUAUUUGAAUCCUUAAUAGAAAAAAUCAUUUCCAUCAUCAACUACAUUGCUUUAAAAUCUAAAUAGGCAAGGCUCUUUGUCUUUCUCCUUUUGCUUCCCCUUAUCUCUCUCAAUCCCUGGGUCCACAUUUUUUUCAAAUUUCAAAUUAUCAUCUGUAAAGCCAUAGUCACCAUCAUCAAAAUUAGAUUCACCAUCUUCAAUGCCUAAAUCCUUUGGCACUCCAUCAUUGAUGCCUAAAUCCUUUGGCACUCCAUCAUCAAUGUCUGAAUUCUUUUGCACUCCAUCAUCAAUGCUUGAAUCCUUGGCACUCCAUCAUCAAUGCUUGAAGCCUUGCACUCCAUCAUCAAUGCUUGAAUCCUUGCACUCCAUCAAUGCCUGAAUCUUUUUGCACUCCAUCAUCAAUACUUGAAUCCUUUUGCACUCCAUCAUCCUCAUCUUCACCUUUCAUAUCAACAUUAAGACAUAUUCUUCAUAGCAAUAUCCCUAGAUACCUACUGCAUGUAUAUUUUAAUCUCCUUACUUGCAGAGAUAUGCUUUACUAUUUCUAUUACAUCUUGAUCACAUCUCAAAGGUCUUAACCCAUCAUCUAAAGUCUUUGUUAGAUCUCUCCAGUAAUAAUUCAUAUUCAUAAAUCUAUCAUAUCCUAAUUUCUUUAACAUAUCAUCAAUUUCAAGCAUAGACAUUGUGUCUAUAUUAUAAGUCAUAAAAGUCAAAUUUGCCGUUAAUAUAUGAUUUAUUUGGCACUUGAGCAAAAUGAUUAUUAUGAUGUAAAACCACUGGGAAAUAGUCAGAAUCAUUUGCCAUACAUAAAAUAUAGAAAUAGUAUAAUCACAUAAAGAAACAAUGAAACAUGUACCGUAUCAGAAAAAGACCAAUUUUAAAAAGAUAUAAACAAUGUGCUCAACAUAAAAAACAAUGGAACAUUUAUUUGAUUGUAAAAAUAAACAAUGGACUUUACAUUAUUUUAUCCUCAUUUUUUAUAAUUAUUAGGUCUCUAUUAUAGUCUAAUCACAAUUAAAGGGAUAAAAAUACAAAUAGAUACAUUCCUAGAGGUCAAUGUGGUGAGGUUAAUGGAAAGAAUAAGGUAAUCAUUGUAGAUAAGCAAUUUAGUGGAGUAGAUAAGAGGAUAAGGUAGCAAAUAAGUGAAUAAUUAUUGCAACAGAUAAGGUAAUCUCACAAUUUAGUGAAGGACUUGAUGAAAGUGGCUUUAUUAGAUUUGAAACUCAAGUUAAUCAUGUUAUACAGACUACAAACAAAUAGAGCAUGGACACAAAUAGCUCAAAAGUUUUUUAUGUUGAAAGUAGCUUUGCUUGUCAAUCCUUUCGAAAACUAAAAUUGGUAACAAUUCUUAUGUCGAGUCCCCACACACCAACGUAACAGAUAUAAUAAUAAUAGAACAAAUAAAAAAAUAUGGGCAGUCACAAUAGAUAAAUAGUAAUUAGCUUCAUAGAUAUCAUGGUUCAUGGAAUUGGCUCGAAUCGGAUGGUUCAAGAUGUGCCAAACCAUAUCGACGACUGACCGGUGCAGUUCGGACAUUCGAAUUGAAACACCGACAAAAAUGGAAUGAGGGGGAAGGAAAGAGAGAAGGAGAAAGAAGAGGGGAGGGAAGGAGAGCGAAAGGCCAACGGUGGUCUGUUGAGGCCUCUAGGCUCUGCGGUUCUUCGCAAGAUGUGAGAAAGAGAGAUAGAGACAGGAUAGAGAGAAGAGGAGUGAGGAAAAGAUGGCAUGGAGGCAAUCGGAGGGUCGCUAGGUGGCCAUCGGAUGGUCCAAAUUCAUCUUGCGAUUGUUGUACAUUCGAAAUAGGGAUAACACACCUGUUUCAUCAUGUUUUUUUUUUUUUAAAUGCAAUAAAUAGUGAAGCUGACAAUGGACAGUCUGACGGCCAUGGUGGCUAUCUGAUGACUUCCCUACUGCCUUUCUCGCACUCCCCCUCUCCCUUUUCCUCUCUUUAUUUCACUACUUUCGUUUCAUCUCGUAGAGGACCACAGCAUUCGAGAGGCCUCGACGGUCCUCCGUGGCCCUCCGAUGGCCACCAUCGGUGCCUCCACUAGCCUUCCUUUUCUUCCCUCCCUGUCCCUUCAUCCCCCCUCCCACCCUCUUUCUCUUUCUUUUCUGUCCUGGUUUAUCCCUCAUUUUCAUGUCAAUUCGGGCUCAGUACGGUCCGACAUGGGGGCAUACCAACUCGUAUUGCUGGCCGGUCAACAUGGGAUUGUGUUUUGAGUUGGUGAACCUUGAUAGAUAUGGUAACAAUAGAACAAUUAAAAAAAAUCCACAAACGCAUUCACAAUAGAUAAAAUGUAGGCAUUACUCUUAUCAUAUCGAGGGUGACACAACAUGGAUGUGAAAUUAUGCAAUACAACCUCCUUUUCCUCGAUCAUUCCUUUAUUUACUUCUCUUGCACACCUUAACUCCUCGCCGGGCAAUCUACUAUGCCCUUCCCUACUCGCAUAUUAGUAAUGAAACAAUGAAUUGAGGGUUUAAAUGCUAUUUGAUUGGAUGAAUUGAAAGGAAUCGAGGUUUUGGACUCUUCUCCUUUUGAUUUCUCUUUUUUAACUGACAUACGAACCCUAACAUUCCCAAAUCCUUCAAGCUUCCCCCAUCAAUUCGUUGAUGUGGCAAUUUUCCUCCUAAUUGACUCUCUCUAACCUUGGACUUGUAAGUGGUGUCCUAUUGCCACGUCAAGAAAACAUGCCACCUAUACAAUUCUAUUGGAUUACCAAUAGAGCAGUGAUGGUAACAGCUCAAAUGAAUUUGACUUAUAAUGUUAGAGAUGUAAUUGCAACUUUUAAAAGGUUGGGGACUGAAAUAAUUUUCACCCCAAAUCUCGAGUAAUUUAGUAAUUAAGCCGCAUAUAAAUAAGAAAUAGAAAAGUAUUGCAUUUAGGGAUAUUUAAAUGCAAUAUAGCGGGUCUAUUGGUUAUUGUACUUUCACUUUUAAGUAAGAGCAUGAACAUAAAAAUGUAAUAAAAAAUAAUAAAAUAUUAGUGUAAUCUAAUGACCUGCAUAGGACAUAGGUAGGCUACAAUACUAAUAAAUAGUACUGGCCAGCAUACUGUCCUUCUUGGUUAUUUUAAGGGGGUCGAGUGGGGAAAGAAAGUGACAAUGGAAUUAAUUCACUUCGAUCUGGCAUGGAUGGUUCAUUAGGAUGACUCGACCAAUAUAGUGAUGUGGCAUUUGAGUGCAGUGUAAGCCCCAUGCCUGCUAUCUCUAUUCACAUUGAUUAGGCCAAAGGAUAGAAAUGAAGGAAUGUAGUUGUAUCCUUUGCACAAAAGAAGGAUGCUUUCCUUCAUAGUGAGUAACCAUUGGAUCAUCUGCUACUUGCUUUGAGAUAUGCAUAGGAGGAUGGCAGAUAGAGUUCAGAAUGCUUUAAGAGUUGUGAAUGUAAUUUAUGUAGGUAGUUAAAUGAAGACUCUGAGAUCUAUGCAGUGGAUGAUCCAACGGUUGUUGGGCGUGAAGGAAGGCAUAUCGUUAUUUCACAUGAAGGAUACAACCGCGUUCCAAAACUGAAAUGGAAUGGAGAGGAUCGAUUGUAGCCGUCGUAUUAAAAUUACAUUAUUUAUGAUACAUUGCUUUAUUGACACAUGUUCAUACAAAUUUUCCCAAUAUAACAUCUCAUAGAAUUUGAAGAGAUAGUGUGAGAAGUUUGUUAUACUGGAGGUGGUCCUAAGAAGGCAAUGGCCACUUAUCUCGUGCAUUUCUUGGUAGAGAACAACAUGAUUAUUAUAUACAGGUGGCAAACAAACAUGUGGCUGAGAUGUGUAUAUAUAUAUGUGGCGAAUGGAGAGCUCUACUAAAGCAGAGCCUUCAUUUUAGUAUGUGUGUGUAAGAUAUGUUAGAUGUCCUAUCAUAACAAAUUUCCAUAACUGGGGAGGAAACCAACAAAGGAGGAUAAGAAUGGAAAGUGUGACAAUAGGUUUGUGAUGACUGUCGAUGUCGAAGUAUGCAAGACAUGAUGAUGCAUGACCAUUCUAAUGCAUUUUGUAAUCAAAAUAAGAAUGCAACCAACCAUGCUCUAUCUAAUGUGCAACACAUAUGCCUAAUAAAUAGUAUAUUGUCUCGUAUAGCAAUAAGUUUUCAUCUCAAUUAAGAUAUUGGUUUGGCACUCUCUUGUAAGAUACAUUAAAUAUUUCAAGCAAUAUUAUUCAAUAGACUUGAAUUACUUCAUAUCAGCCAAUAUUUUUUUGAUUAAUUAAUUAUUAUUGUAGCUUUAUUUAUUAUUAAUUUACCUUAUUUAUUGAGAUUUCUCAUAUCUUCUUUUGUAAAUUACCAGCCAAGAUUCUAUCAAUAUCUUGGUGCUUCCUUUCUUCCCUAAUUUCCAUUUCAGCAAAUAUACACCAACAUCCCAAUCUAUCUUGAACUCGACACCAACCUUAUAUAGCACAUACCGAUUAUCUCGACGAAAUACUUAUCAGUUAGGAAGGAGAUAAUUUUGUGAAAUGAUUCAAAUCAUAUUGCUAAAACCCCGCAAAAUGUGCCACAUGUCCAUACAACCAGUGCUCACCCUUAAUCAUUACUAUUGAUACCCAAGCAUCAUGGUGGACCACCCAAUCUCCACACAUUGAGACUGUGUGAAAUAUAAUACCCAAGAGGAAAGAGCCAAAGGAUUCCACUAUAAUACCCAUGAAGCAUUUCUACGUGAAAUUAAAUACCAUUUCUACAUGUGCUGGAUGAACAAUUACACACCUAGGUGGAUAGAGGGCUUUGCCAAAGUAGAGCCUCCAUUUUAAUGUAUAUAUAUAUUAGGUGUCAGAGGUGAAGUAGUGUGGGCACCAGUCAUCGUGAUUUCUUAUGGCUCGAUUGUUGAUAGAGUCUCUGUCAUUUUUAUUCGGAGUCCUGUCAUUUUUAUUUUGAGUCCUGUAGUUUUUAUUUGGAGUUGAGCUUUUAAAUUGGGCUCGAUUGUGAUUGAGUCUUUGAUUUGUAAUUUAAAUCCUAAUGCAAGUCAACUAUUUGGAGAAAUUUCUUGUUUAGUCAAGAUAGUUCAGUUCGAAUCAACUUCCUGGAGGAGUUUAAAUCAACUGGUUAUUGUGUUCAGCCACUUGGAAGCACACCGCCAAUUGAAAGCUCUGCGAUAGUCUCUUCACGCAUGUGGAAGACCUUUGAAAUUCAAACAAUGCCCAGAUUAGUUGAGACUGCUUCUUGCGUGCAUGGAAAUCUUCAUGGCAGCCUUGAAAAUCACAUGCCAACCAGAUGACGCGGCCCAUCUCCAUGCACGCCCUCUCACACACAUCCUGGAGGAUCGCACUUUCUUCUGUUUGGGUUGUUUCUUUUGUUUGGAUUGUUUCUUCUAUUUGGGUUGUUAAGAAUUUUUUUUAAAAAGGGCACGAGGAGUCUUGUAAAACAGAAUAUUGAUUGGGAAAUAAAAAAAUUCGGCUUCUACCUUGUCUGCAUGUUCUCUUCUUCCUUCCCUUCUCUGUUUACUAAUCUUCUUCUUCCCUCCCUCUCUUCCUUCUCUUCUUCCCUUCCCUCUUCCUCUCUCCCAUCUCUCUUCUGACAACCUCAUCACAUCUGCAUAAAAACAGAGAUCCCUAGCAGCAGCGCAUGAUCCUCUUUCAAGGUCUGAAGUUGAAGGACGAAGGCUUGGAGAUUCCCACCAAUCUGCAGGAACCUAGCACAUCACCCUUCUUCCCCACACCUGCAUCCUCCCUAUGCCAUCUUUAGCCAUCUACGGGACAGUUCUUUGCAAGUUCGGAUCGGAUCCCAUGACCUUGGACAACGGAAAAAUUUGUCGACAACCGUGGCCUGAUUCGGCAUCCGAAUCCUCCCUCAUCUGGAAGUCUUCAUCAGCGUGUUUUUGCAGAUGACUCAAUUACAUGCGAUUCAAGAAAUAGGGAUGCUGCAUUUUAUGGAAUUACCAGGUUUCUUGAGCAAAUUCGCUUGAUGCAAGUUGAUGGUGCAAAAUGUGUCUAAGAAGCCGAUAUAACGACUCGGAGGUUGCAUAGAUUUUUGAGAUGACUUUUAAUCAAACCCUUCUGUUGGUCUUCAGCAGUUUGUAGAGCAUUCUAUCAUUCCAUGAGCUUGAGGCAGUUGUUGUAGUGUUAUGUUAAACCAUGAAACUAGCUCUCAGGCUUAAUUUAAACAAUGCAGAGAGGAGAGCCAAUACAGAAGAGGCAGUGCUUGCGCUAGACUUCUUGCUGCGGUCUUGGAUACUUGGCCACCUGAUGUGUGCUUUUUCUUUCUUUGCUUUCCUGUCAAUACUUGAAGUCAUUUUUUUUCAUGCGAUAAUUAUAUCAUCCUCUGAUGUAAACUGAGGACUGACUUGUCCACAUACAACAGGUCAGCCAACUCCAGUGGUACAUCAUCAUCACCCAAUGAUGCAGACUAAAGCGAGUCCAAAAUCUGCAAGCCAAUCCGCUUCUUUUCUUGAUAUGUUUUUUUUUUCCUGUACAUAGUUGGAAAUAAUUUUAAUCAAAUAAGGAACUUGGUAUUGGAAAUCUUUGUUUUGACCAAAAUUCUACUGGAUUAGGAUGACGUGUUUUUGUACAGGUGGUCUGCUAUGCAUGGUUCGGAUGAAUGAGAAAGAUGGAAUUAUUUUUGAUCGGUAGCUGUGAUGUAAUCAGGUGGUGAUAUUUGAUCAGUUGAACUGAUAAAUGCAUGCAUCCUCACAUCGGGGCAGGGCCGCAUCAACUUAGAGGCGGGUUGCUUCUUUUUUAUAUGAUUUUUUUUAUUUGUUUUUAUGGAAACCUAGACACUUUAUUGAAGAAAAAUAAAAGCAAAAUGAACAAGCUCAAUUCUUUUUCCUAAAA